rnacentral:rRNA from 1 species
UCGGGAAUUUUGGGCAAUGGGCGAAAGCCUGACCCAGCAACGCCGCGUGAGGGAUGAAGUAUUUCGGUAUGUAAAACUCGAAAGAAUGGGAAGAAUAAAUGACGGUACCAUUUAUAAGCUCCGGCUAACUACGUGCCAGCAGCCGCGGUAAUACGUAGGGAGCAAGCGUUGUUCGGAUUUACUGGGCGUAAAGGGCGCGUAGGCGGCGCGGUAAGUCACUUGUGAAAUCUCUGAGCUUAACUCAGAACGGCCAAGUGAUACUGCUGUGCUAGGGUGCGGAAGAGGCAACCGGAAUUCUUGGUGUAGCGGUGAAAUGCGUAGAUAUCAAGAGGAACACCUGAGGCGAAGGCGGGUUGCUGGGCCGACACUGACGCUGAUGCGCGAAAGCCAGGGGAGCAAACG